UGGUCAAGUUAUUAAGGGUGCAGGGCGGAUGCCUUGGCACUAGGAGCCGAUGAAGGACGUGAUAAGCUGCGAUAAGCUUCGGGGAGUUGCACGUAAACUUUGAUCCGAAGAUUUCCGAAUGAGGAAACUCACUUAGAGUAAUGUCUAAGUAUCAUUAAGUGAAUACAUAGCUUAAUGAGGGGAACUCAGGGAACUGAAACAUCUAAGUACCUGAAGGAAGAGAAAGAAAUUCGAUUCCGUAAGUAGCGGCGAGCGAACGCGGAUUAGCCCAAACCAAUAAAGUUUUCUUUAUUGGGGUUGCGGACAUAUCAUAACGAAGAGGUAUCGUAAUUGAAGAGGUUUGGAAAGACCCACCACAGAAGGUAAUAGUCCUGUAUGUUAAACGAGAAGACUUCAGAUAUGAUCCAGAGUACCACGGGACACGUGAAACCCUGUGGGAAGCAGGAGGGACCACCCUCCAAGGCUAAAUACUACCUAGUGACCGAUAGCGUAUAGUACCGUGAGGGAAAGGUGAAAAGAACCCCGGGAGGGGAGUGAAAUAGAACCUGAAACCCUGCACUUACAAGCUGUGGAAGCACAUUUCUUGUGUGACCGCGUACUUUUUGUAGAACGGGCCAACGAGUUACGUUAAGUAGCAAGGUUAAGCACUUAAGGUGUGGAGCCGUAGCGAAAGCGAGUUUUAACUGAGCGUUCAGUUACUUGACGUAGACCCGAAACCGGGCGACCUACCCAUGAGCAGGAUGAAGCGAAAGUAAAAUUUCGUGGAGGUCCGAACCCACGAGCGUUGAAAAGCUCGGGGAUGACUUGUGGGUAGCGGUGAAAUUCCAAUCGAGCCCGGAGAUAGCUGGUUCUCCCCGAAAUAGCUUUAGGGCUAGCCUCAAGGUGAGAGAUACGGAGGUAGAGCACUG
rnacentral:rRNA from 1 species